rnacentral:rRNA from 1 species
CCUACGGGAGGCAGCAGUAAGGAAUAUUGGUCAAUGGGCGCAAGCCUGAACCAGCCAUGCCGCGUGCAGGAAGACGGCCCUAUGGGUUGUAAACUGCUUUUGAACAAGAGAAAACCUCGGUACGUGUACCGAGCUGAUAGUAUUGUUAGAAUAAGCAUCGGCUAACUUCGUGCCAGCAGCCGCGGUAAGACGAAGGAUGCAAGCGUUAUCCGGAUUCAUUGGGUUUAAAGGGUGCGUAGGCGGCCUGAUAAGUCAGUGGUGAAAUCUCUCAGCUUAACUGAGAAACUGCCAUUGAUACUGUCGGGCUUGAGUACAGAUGAUGUGGGCGGAAUAUGACAUGUAGUGGUGAAAUACUUAGAUAUGUCAUAGAACACCGAUUGCGAAGGCAGCUCACAAAACUGUAACUGACGCUGAGGCACGAAAGUGCGGGGAUCAAACAGGAUUAGAUACCCUGGUAGUCCGCACCGUAAACGAUGAUUACUCGUUGUUGGCAAUAUGACCGUCAGCGACCAAGCGAAAGCGAUAAGAAUCCACCUGGGAGUACGCCGGCAACGGUUGAAACGUCAAANAGAGUAGAGGNGNGAGAGNGCGAGGACGACACGAGGGAGGAGG